rnacentral:lncRNA from 1 species
CACCGCCUUAAGCCUUAUCACGAGCUUGCUGAAAUAGAAAAGGAGAAGGAGGAAUGCUACCUCCUCGACCCUGAGUACGAGUGAAGAGUGAAGGGAGGUCGAGCUCAAGACGGGAAACAAGAGCGCUUGCUGGGAGGCAACCCAGCGUGGUUACUUCGGUAUGGUCUAUACCGACUUUUUCUUUUCUUUUCUUUUAAGUUGUUUUGUUUCGUGUUUGGAUGCACUAACUUGCAGGUAAGUCGGGCCGAGAUAAUUGGAAAAAGGCCCAGAGGUUGAUCCGAGCCCACUUUGCGUUGCAAAGUGUGUAGGUGGAGAGCUAGGGAUUGGAACGGUCUGGGAGAGGGCUUACGCAGGGAAAUGACGCAAGCGUGUCAGGGGCAGGCGGCG